CCCACAUCAACGCUGUAUGUGCCAGACCCUUGUGCUACAAAGGCCUCAGCUGCACAGAGGAUGCCCCCCCCCCAGCUCAACAAAUUCUUCCAGAACAAGGCCUGCUCAGUUACUGGGGGAGAUUGGGCCCACUGAAAGGCUUCACAUAUGCUAGCUCUUCACUUCUCUCCCACUCUGUCAAGAAAGAAGAAAAAAGAACUUGUAUUUAUGUACCACCUUUGAUGAUCAUGGAACAUUCCAGAACGCCUUACAGCCAAUGAGUGUUACUCAUCAACUUCUGUUCGAGAAGAAAACUUCUCGUUCCCACAGAACAAGGUCCUACAGAUCACUGUGGACAAGUGGAGGUCUUGAACUAUCCCCACAUGGGGCAGAAAAUUGGAACCAUGGGGAAAAAAGGAACAGCUUGAUUGAAGAGUUCAAUUGUUUGGAAGGGCCCUCUCACGCGGAGAGGAACAGACUUGCAUUUCUGUAGCACCAUUUAUAGCCUCGGGACAUCCCAAAGAGAUCAGCAGCCAAUGAGAUGCUUUUCAAGUGUCGUUACUGUUGGAAUGUGGGGAAAUGCCAAUUUGUGCACAGCAAGCUCCCACACACAGCAAUGAGAUGAAUGACUGGAUAAUCAAGUUUUUAGUAUUGUUACUUGAGGUAUAAAUAUCAGGCCCCAGAACACUAGGAUUAACCCACCUGCUUUUCUUCAAACUAGUGCAAUGGGAUCUUUUACACCCACCUGAGAGAGCAGAUGGGGUCUCAGUUUGACGACUUAUCUGAAAGAUGACAUUGCAGCUUCCACUCAGUGCUACACUGGGAGCAUCAACUCAUAUUUUGUUCGACCAACUGAGCCAUGGCUGACACUCAGAAACACUAAAUCCCAGGUCAGCUAACAGCAGGGCCUGAAUUUUUGCCUGGGCUCAGGAAAACCCGACUCAUGUACUUCUGCGGCUCGCAAAAUGCACAACUGACCCAUAUGUGAAUUUAGGAGAAAUUUUCAUCUUUGCACACAGGUCAGGUUUGCAGUGCACGAGGGUGUGCAAGUUAGAAGGCCUGCCUCGGUUCAUCAACACAGCAGCUCAGCUCCCGUCAUCAUUUAAAGGUCCCCUAAACCUCAUCCCUCACACCACUCAUCUUCCCCACCUACCCCCCCCCCCCAUGUCACCCCAUACCACUUCACAUGCCCCAUGCCACCUCAUGCCUCUUUCCCCCCAUGUAUCCUUCUUAGCCACUCAUCCAGUAUUCACCAUGUACAGUCCUCAGGAGCUAUGCAAUAGCCACAAGAAUUAUUUUAAAGUUAUUGGAAAACCAUUAAACCUCUAACAAUAUAAGAAAACCCGAAAUUCAAACUUACUAUCAUUGAUUCUGGACAAAAAAAAAGCCCAAGAGAAAAAGAAGGUUUUAGUCCUUUAAGUGCCUCUUAGGUUUGUAAACAAACAAGAAACUGCAUCAAAGACAUAACCUGUUAUUGUAGCUGCUAACAGUUUCAAUGGUUCUUGAAUCAAUAAAACCACCUGCUGAGCUGAAGCUUUUGAAACCCAGCCAAGCAUUCAUUAUGGAGCAGCUGUCAUAACAAAAGCUUCCAGAUCCACUGACAGAACAGGUAUCCAUUUUCAUUUCAAAUCAGAAUGUCUGUCAAUCAAUGGAGGGGAGGCAGAUGCAGACCAUUUUUCCUACCUUCAGAAGCUACCAGCCCAAUGAAAGCAGAGUGCAAUAACAUGGCAGCAGAGGAGGACUUUUUAUUUUAUAUUUUUACAUUAUGGUACUUUCUCCAUUGGAAAAGUGCUGUAAUGCAUGUGAACAAUUACACAAUGCUGGUCAAUGUAAGGGUAAACUUACCUUUAAAGGAUCAAUCCCUAUGAUGAAUCACUGCAGUAAAACACGUCUAUAUUUCAA